GACGAACGCUGGCGGCGUGCCUAAUACAUGCAAGUCGUGCGGACUUUGCGGGAGCUUGCUCCCAAGAAGUUAGCGGCGGACGGGUGAGUAACACGUGGGCAACCUGCCUGACAGACUGGGAUAACAUUCGGAAACGGAUGCUAAUACCGGAUAGGCAGCGAAGAGGCAUCUCUUUGCUGAGAAAGGCGCUAUGGCGUCACUGUCAGAUGGGCCCGCGGCGCAUUAGCUAGUUGGUAGGGUAACGGCCUACCAAGGCGACGAUGCGUAGCCGACCUGAGAGGGUGACCGGCCACACUGGGACUGAGACACGGCCCAGACUCCUACGGGAGGCAGCAGUAGGGAAUCUUCCACAAUGGGCGAAAGCCUGAUGGAGCAACGCCGCGUGAGUGAUGAAGGCCUUCGGGUUGUAAAACUCUGUCUUCUGGGACGAACGGCCAAGAGAGGGAAUGCUCUUGGAUUGACGGUACCAGAGGAGGAAGCCACGGCUAACUACGUGCCAGCCGCCGCGGUAAAAC
rnacentral:rRNA from 1 species